AGAGUUUGAUCAUGGCUCAGAACGAACGCUGGCGGCGUGCUUAACACAUGCAAGUCGAACGAGAAAGUUUCCUUCGGGAAAUGAUUAAAGUGGCGCACGGGUGAGUAACGCGUAGAUAAUCUACCCCAAUAUCUGGGAUAACUACUCGAAAGGGUAGCUAAUACCGGAUACGCUUUAGCUGUAGCGAUACAAUUAGAGGAAAGGUGACCUCUCGGAGAAGUUGCCGUAUUGGGAUGAGUUUGCGUACCAUUAGCUAGUAGGUAGGGUAAUGGCCUACCUAGGCUACGAUGGUUAGCGGGUCUGAGAGGAUGAUCCGUCACACUGGAACUGGAACACGGACCAGACUCCUACGGGAGGCAGCAGUGAGGAAUAUUGCGCAAUGGGGGAAACCCUGACGCAGCGACGCCGCGUGGGUGAAGAAGGCCUUCGGGUUGUAAAGCCCUGUCAGGUGGGAAGAAGUGCAUUAUGGUUAAUACCCAUAGUGUUUGACGGUACCACCAGAGGAAGCACCGGCUAAAUCCGUGCCAGCAGCCGCGGUAAUACGGAUGGUGCGAGCGUUGUUCGGAAUUACUGGGCGUAAAGGGCGCGUAGGCGGCCCUGUAAGUCAGAUGUGAAAGCCCACGGCUCAACCGUGGAAGUGCAUCUGAAACUGCAGAGCUUGAGUAUGGGAGAGGAAAGUGGAAUUCCCGGUGUAGAGGUGAAAUUCGUAGAGAUCGGGAGGAAUACCGGUGGCGAAGGCGACUUUCUGGACCAAUACUGACGCUGAGGCGCGAAAGCGUGGGGAGCAAGCAGGAUUAGAUACCCUGGUAGUCCAUAGCUGUAAACGAUGAGAACUAGGUAUAGGGGGUAUUGACCCCUCCUGUGCCGCAGCUAACGCAUUAAGUUCUCCGCCUGGGGAGUACGGUCGCAAGAUUAAACUCAAAGGAAUUGACGGGGGC
rnacentral:rRNA from 1 species